GUCGAGCGGAUGAAGAGAGCUUGCUCUCUGAUUCAGCGGCGGACGGGUGAGUAAUGCCUAGGAAUCUGCCUGGUAGUGGGGGACAACGUCUCGAAAGGGACGCUAAAACCGCAUACGUCCUACGGGAGAAAGCAGGGGACCUUCGGGCCUUGCGCUAUCAGAUGAGCCUAGGUCGGAUUAGCUAGUUGGUGAGGUAAUGGCUCACCAAGGCGACGAUCCGUAACUGGUCUGAGAGGAUGAUCAGUCACACUGGAACUGAGACACGGUCCAGACUCCUACGGGAGGCAGCAGUGGGGAAUAUUGGACAAUGGGCGAAAGCCUGAUCCAGCCAUGCCGCGUGUGUGAAGAAGGUCUUCGGAUUGUAAAGCACUUUAAGUUGGGAGGAAGGGCAGUAAGCGAAUACCUUGCUGUUUUGACGUUACCGACAGAAUAAGCACCGGCUAACUCUGUGCCAGCAGCCGCGGUAAUACAGAGGGUGCAAGCGUUAAUCGGAAUUACUGGGCGUAAAGCGCGCGUAGGUGGUUUGUUAAGUUGAAUGUGAAAUCCCCGGGCUCAACCUGGGAACUGCAUCCAAAACUGGCAAGCUAGAGUAGGGCAGAGGGUGGUGGAAUUUCCUGUGUAGCGGUGAAAUGCGUAGAUAUAGGAAGGAACACCAGUGGCGAAGGCGACCACCUGG
rnacentral:rRNA from 1 species